GACGGGGCCCGCACAAGCGGUGGAGCAUGUGUUUAAUCGAAGCAACGCGAAGAACCUUACCAGGUCUUGACAUCCCGAUGCUAUUUCUAGAGAUAGAAAGUUACUUCGGUACAUCGGUGACAGGUGGUGCAUGGUUGUCGUCAGCUCGUGUCGUGAGAUGUUGGGUUAAGUCCCGCAACGAGCGCAACCCCUACGUUUAGUUGCUAACGCGUGAAGGCGAGCACUCUAGACGAACUGCCGUUGACAAAACGGAGGAAGGUGGGAUGACGUCAAAUCAUCAUGCCCCUUAUGUUCUGGGCUACACACGUGCUACAAUGGCCGGUACAGACGGACGCAAAGCCGCGAGGUGGAGCAAAUCCUAAAAAGCCGGUCUCAGUUCGGAUUGCAGGCUGCAAUUCGCCUGCAUGAAGUCGGAAUCGCUAGUAAUCGCAGGUCAGCAUACUGCGGUGAAUACGUUCCCGGGCCUU
rnacentral:rRNA from 1 species